GAUCGGUAAGGUUGCCUGUGCGUCAUGUCCAUCGUUUUCCUGAAAAACGCAGUCACUUCA
rnacentral:ribozyme from 1 species